rnacentral:rRNA from 1 species
UUGAUCUGCCGGACCUGACUGCUAUCGGCAUUGGUACUACGCCAUGCGACGUCCUUGUACCAUACAACGGCGGACUGCUCAGUAACACGUAGUUAACUUAACCUAUGGAUGGGAAUAACCUCGAGGAAACUGAGAAUAAUACCCCAACUGGGCCACACGUGCCUGCACAUGGCCUGUGUGUUGACACAUGAUUUACUCGCCGCUACCGCAUAGUGACUUGCGCGCCCUACUCACGCUCUGCUCUGGCUGACGGCUAACUCGGCCCCAACCCACUGGCCCUAUAACCAGCGUCACCGGCGGCUCCUGCAGCACCGCAGGCGGCCCCGCGGACGACUGGCGUACCUUGACGACCACCGUGACCUCACGUGCCCCUACUGCGCGGCGCCACGCACCGCCGACGAACACCCUCUUGCCAGCUGUGCCGAAACGCCACCGACACAGGCUUCACUCCGCAGUGUCUUCCCUGCCUACACGGAGUCUUCCUGUCACGCUCGUCGCAAUCACCUGGCUGCACAUAAGGGGCGUGGGCAACCUCCUGGUGUCAGCCCGCC